rnacentral:rRNA from 1 species
AUGGAGGGAGGUGGCGCCAGCAGGGCGGGCUCGCCGGAGGAGGCGAGGCGGGCUCGGGAGUCUCACCUGUGCCGCAUCUGCAAGAGGGGCUUCACCACGGCACAGGCGCUCGGAGGGCACAUGAACGUCCACCGCCGCCGCGGCGAGGCCGAGGAGCCGCCGGCUGGCGCUCAAGUCGACGGUGGCCGCGCCGGUGGGUCGAAGAAGGCAGCGGGUCCCGUGGGCAACGACGAGCUGGACUUGGAGCUGAGGCUCUAG